CAAGGGAUCUUCCUGACCCAGGGAUGGAACCCACGUCUCUUACGUCUCCUGCGUUGGCAGGUACUCAUAUGGGAUAAUGGGACAAUCCAUGGUUCCAAGCAUGGUUAUGACUGCAGACAUACAGGACUGUGGGAAGGGGCGGCUGAGAAGACAGAGGGGAUUAGUUUACAUGAUACCACUUCUAAGAUGGGAUGAAGAUUCAGAAAGCAUUCUGAAAGAUGGCAAGAAAUGAAGCUGGAGUGAUGGGCUGAAGUUUGGCCACCUCACUACAACUGACUCAAAUCCUCAAAUUAAAGACUUUCUGCUGCAUGUGAUAAGGGCGCCAUGUGAAAGUUAUGUGACAUGACAAAAUUUGUAUUUUAGAAAAGUAAUGUAUAUAAAGGUAUAGAGACAACGUGCUCAAUA